rnacentral:lncRNA from 1 species
GUUUAUUUUAUGCAUUUGUAUCUUUUGUUUGAUUUGUUUUUGAGUAUAUUUCAUAUAUUUAUUGUAGGUUCUCCUAACGAUCCUUAAUCGGAUUUUCGGGUCUUUUGCCUGACAUUCCUUUAGUUCAGUAUUUUCCGGGUGAGUGGAAUAAUCUUUAAUAUGCAUAUAAUAUAAAUAAAUAUGUAUGUUGAUUAUACAAUGAGUACGACUAGUAAGUUUCUUGAAUAUUUAUAUAUGUUGCUUUAUUUUCCGAGUACUCAUUUAUUCUUGAAUUUGCAUUCGCAAUCUGUCAAAGUAAAUUCUAUUUGAUAUGAUAUACGCUUCUUUGAUGAUUAUGUGAAUAUCUAUUAUGCCUUGAUAUGGGACUUGUCAGUAACUCCAUGCUAACGGAGAAUAGUUAGCCUGUGUGCACAUAGUAUUCUGUUACCUAGCUGGUGAGAGAGGCAUCAGCCUGUGGUGAUUGAUCAUCCCACAGUGGUCACCGACGGGUGUCAUCUGGUCACCUUCGGGUGUCAUCUGUUCUCUGACAUGUAAUCCACUACGUUAUGAUAAUAUGUUUAGUAAGUAUAUGUAUAUGUAUAUGUAUAUGCAUAUCAAGAUAAAUCAUCUUGCAAAUAAUAUCUGAAAUAUAUGAAAUGUGUAUUAAAUGUUAUUCCCCUCACUGAGUUGGUUGAACUCACCCUCAUUUUUAAUAUUAUUUCAGGUUUUUAGUUUCUGGAACUUUGUUGAGUGUUUCCGCUUCUUCAGUUCUUGUCGGUAUGCCUUGCUUGUUCGCAAGGCUUUCCUUUCAGUUUUGAUUUGAUGUCUUAGACGCUCCACUGUUACCUUGUUUUAAUUACAUUUGGAUUUUGACAAUGUAAUAAGUAUUAUGAAUUAUUAUUUUUGUUUUAAUAAUUAUCUUUCGGUUUCAUCAGUAUUUGAAUAAUAUAAUAUUUCUGAA